GGAGAGGUGGCCGAGCUGGCUGAAGGCGCUCGCCUGCUAAGUGAGUAACCGGAGAUAAUCUGGUUCGAGAGUUCGAAUCUCUCCCUCUCCG
rnacentral:tRNA from 1 species